UACGGGGGGAGCAAGCGUUGUUCGGAUUUACUGGGCGUAAAGGGCGCGUAGGCGGCCUGUUAAGUCGAACGUGAAAUCCCUGGGCUCAACCCAGGAACUGCGUCCGAUACUGGCAGGCUUGAAUCCGGGAGAGGGAUGUGGAAUUCCAGGUGUAGCGGUGAAAUGCGUAGAUAUCUGGAGGAACACCGGUGGCGAAGGCGGCGUCCUGGACCAACACUGACACUGAGGAGCGAAAGCCAGGGGAGCAAACGGG
rnacentral:rRNA from 1 species